GACUCCUGCUCAAUGCUUUUGCCUCUCGCCCAAUUCGCUGGGUAUAAAUCUUCCUAUUCUUCAGUUGAGAGAACCACAAAGCUUUUGAUCAUUUCCCCUUUAAGUUAGAGCCAUUGAGCUUAUUGAAGAGUAAGUAAUUAAACUUUGAGAUUGUGCUCAUGGCUCUAAUGGGUAGCUCCCUGAGAAGAAUGUUGGUCCCUGUGCACAUUUCCAAGCUGCAACAAGUAAAAACUCUGAUAGUAGAUUCUAUACCAACCAGGCCAAAGACCAAGGAAGGACGCGGCGGACAAAUCAACUCCAAGCCUAAAGCUUCAACAACGAAUGCCACUGACCAGGAGGUUGCUUUUAGGACUGAUACCUUGGAUGUUGGCAACAACGCUGACAAGAUUAGUAUAACAAAUGUUGAUGCUGCUGUUACUGUUAAAACAGCUGAAAACAACUGAUGUCUAGUACUGUUUCGUAUGGGCACAUGGCUUUGGCUAUAUCUUAGGACUCAAAUCUUGUCUUAACUUUAUAAUAGGCCCUGUAAAAUUGAAGUUCUCGUAUUUUCAAUUCAACAAGAGAUUUGGUUUCUAUUUGACCA